rnacentral:lncRNA from 1 species
GAUGGCAUUGGCAGGAAGUGCUCUCAUUCCAGCCACCCGCUGCAUAUACUGGUUGGUCAGGUGAGCCUUUCUCUCUUCCUUUCUCUGGGCCAGGGCGACGUACAGCGGCUUGGAGCCCACGAUGCGUCCAUUCAUCUCAGUGACCGCUUUGGUCGCCUCUUCAGGAGAUGAGAAGCAGACAAAGCCAAACCCUUUGCUUCUCCCAUCCUCCAACAUUACCUACAAAGGGACCAGCUACUUAAGGAAAAAAUGUUCUAUGUUGGGGGACAGCUAUUAAGAGUCAAAAACCCUGGGUCCUGCCGCAAGAGUCCCCAAGUGUAGGAUAAGGGUUCUCAGCCUUGUGCCAGGAUGUCCCACAGGCCAAUUAAGUCACAACCUCUAAGGACAGGACCUAGGCAUUUUCACUUUGUUAGAUCUCCGGGUGAUCCUAAAGUUUCCAAACACUAUGACAUAGCUAAUGGUUAAACCAGGAACUCAAAAGAUGUUUCCUGAUACCUGAAGCAAAGCUACCUUUGGCUACCCACUAGAAAUCUGGGCAGUGUCAAGCUAUUUACUUGCAGAACUCAUCUGCUCAAGACCUUGGUGCACAAAACCUUAAUCAUUGCUUAUCAAGGUUAGGAUAUGGUUUUGAAUUACCACAUGCGGGCAGGAAUUACAAAACCAAUGACCACCACCAUUAAUCCAACAGCAGAAAGAUGGCCAGCUGGGAGAGACAGCUGGGAUUCUUGUCCCAACUCUAAUCUCUAAGCUGCGUGACCUUAACAUUUACUUGCCCUCUGUGAGCCUCAAUGUCCAUGAUGACCUCUAAGGCAAACUACCACAAAACCACAUGUCUACUGGUUCUCUUCCCACAUACAGCUAGUCAUUCAUGGAUAGCUCUUUAUCCUCACCUGAGAAGGUGACUUAUUGCUUUCCCUGGUCUACAUCCUCAAAAAUAAUUGGUAGCAAGAGGACGAGGUAUGCUUGGCACCAUUUUGUGUCUUAGCUCGCUGCCUGGACAGCCUCCUGAGGUGGAGGACAUGAGAGUAAGGAUGUAUACCAACCCAACAUCUUUCUACCAAUGAGAUGGGCCAACACGGUGUAUGAAAACAUGACACCCUGAUCUUGAAAACAGGGGCUGUGAAACUUGAAAGACCUGGUUCUUUUGUUCUUUUCCUGCCAACUUAAGCACUGUGCUGAUAAGGAGAGACCAUCAUUCUUCACACUGAUGGAAGGCCAGUGAAGGAAGUGAUAAGAGGGAAGGGCCAAGGAAACAAGGAACCCGACAGGGUGGCCUCUGGUCAACUCUGCUACAACUGAUAAUGUGCCUUUGACAACACUCCCAGGUUGUGCACGACUUAAACUAAGGGCCAAGACAGGGUCACACCAAAGUCUUUUUACCAGACCACUUGGCCUCUUUCUCAUCCCUGAAAAGACUCUGACACCUGCUGCACCUCUGCUGAGCAGGAACAGCGUGUGCCUCAAGGCUACAACCCAAAACUUUCACACGCCAUCCACUCCCAUCACACCCCCCCGACAGACCAAGGACGUGCGGCACACCAGCCUCUAACGAGUGUACUCAUGCUCAAGGACUCCAAUUCCUUAUCUCCACAAGGGGGUUCAUACUCACUCACCCUGCUGUAUCAGUUGAUAGGACUAUCAAAGAACACCAAGCAGACGACACACAUGGCAAAAUGUGGAAGAGUCAUCUUUCCACUCCUCUUUGUGUGCCUUUAGCUUUUAUAAGGCCAGAAGUUCCUAACCCCAGCUCCCAAGUCCUCAAACACCUUCAUUCAAGGACAAAGUGUGUGGCAGAGUUGUAGAGACAGGCCCCAAGACAAAUGGAAAACAACCCGUCUGGAUUUCCUCUGCUCAUACUGUUGCACCAUCUGUCCCCACACCAGCACAAAGCAGCAAAGAAUGGGAAAGAUUCAGGUGCUUGAGGGGCGUUGGCAGGAGGGACUGCUCAGAUUCACCUCCAUACCUCAGUGCCUGGGAGAGAUGGUGCCAUUUAACCUAAUGAAAUUCCAUUCUCCAGAGCACAUACUCAGAUGCGUAAUAUUGGAGGCCAGGAGGAAUUAUGCUAGAUGAAUGUGAUAGCUAUUUUCAGCAACGAACACAAUUUAGAUUCCACUCCUUCAAUGAAAUAAAAAAAAUUACAAUUUCUACUUUCGAUCUCCAAACCACAGUAUAAAAUACCUUAGCGCUGGUGAUUGAUCCAAAAGGAGAAAACUCUUUUCUUAACUUCUCAUCAUCAAUGGUGUCAUCCAAGUUCUUAAUGUAGAGAUUCACUCCCUGAAACAGAGGGGCCACAGUUAAUGCACAUCUGUACCCUAUAGAUGCCCUGAGACACUGGUUCUCAAAAUGUGGUCCCCAGACCAGCAGCAACCACCUCCUUGGACGCUUCUUAGAAAAGCAAAUUCUCAGACCAGGACCCCAGAAAUUCUGGGGCUCAGAAAGCCAUGCUUUCACAAGCCCUAAAGGGGACUCUGAUGUAGGCUCAGGGUUGAGACUCCUGCCACAAUUUCUGAAGGGACCCUCAAUAAGGGUUUGGAAUGCUCUGACCAUUGUCCCCAGCAAGGCUCUUGCCACCAAUCCAACAAAAGGCAAUCAUUUAAGUAAAAAGAACCCACAUGAUUAAGAACAAUAGACUGAGGCUUCCGGGAGUGAGUCCCUAAAUAAUACAUCAAUCUCUUUUGCCCUUGUUCUAGAAUCACUGCUGUAUCUGGUAAGUAUAUCCUUCCAAACCUGGGGAUCUUGGGAGAAAGGAGAGGAAGAGGCAGUUUCCCAGUUCCCAAAGAGAAAGGCUGAUAAACAGAAAGGCGCUCUUGUCGGGACUGCACAGUAAACCCUCAGUGGGGAGGCUGUGCUGAGACCACCUCUCACCUGAUACCGACUAAUUCUCUCUUGCUUCAGCUGUUCAAAUUUCCGCUUUAACUCGGCCUGCCGUUCCACUUUCUUCUGUGCGCGGCCUACAAAAAUGACUUUCCCACUGAUUUCUUUUCCAUUCAUCUCUUCCACGGCCUAAAGAGGAAACACAGGUCUUAAAACCAAGACGUAGAGGCUGGGCCCUUGCCCUGGAGGCCUCAAAGUCCCACCAAACAUUCGGAGAGAAGGAAAUCUUUCCUACAGGGUUAAAAACUAGUUUAAUUCCAUUUCUGAAGCCAGCUAAGCAAAUCCAAACUUCCUCAUGAGUAAAAGGGGGUUACUACUUAAAUGGAUUAUUGGUCCAUAUGAUACAGGAAAAAAAAUGGUAGUUUUAUAAAUACAAGCAUGGCAGACAUGAGCCAAGGCUGAUAAUCUGGCUGUAGCUAAGUCUCUCAGGUUCUCUUGUGGGCAGUGAGUGAUGUAUGUCAAGGGCCAGCACCAUGCUUUAUCUACAAAAAUAGCUGCUGCCCUGUUAUCAAGUCAGCAACUCCUGAGGGAAGACGGAGUCCCCUCACUAUGAAUGGAAGCAAACAUCCAUCCUACUCUUUCAACCUACAGGGCCGAACAGCUGAGGUGACAGGCUACAUGCCCGGUGCUUUGGGAACAGGUAAAUGAUGUAUUACCAUGUGAAGUCCCUCAGGCCAGUAACUGCAUCACUACGAUACCCGGGCAAUUCCAGUUCUACUCUAUUUACCAGCCAGGCCUGACCACACUCAGGGGCCACUUCCUGAAAAUUUCUCCCCGACCCUCGUGGUACUCUCACCUUAUUGGCAUCCUCGUGUUUUUCGUAACUCACAAAGCCAAAGCCUUUGGAUUUCCCACUGGGAUCUCUCAUCACCUUGACACUUAGGGUCUUACCUAUUACCAAAGGACAGAACUAUUAGUAACACCAUCUCUACUGCAGCUCAAGGAGAGAAGGCUUCUCUAAGUGUCCAAAUGAAGCCAAUUCUUGCUGAACCCAGAUGGGGUCCAGAAAGAGGCGCGGUGCCUGGUCUUCUAGUUCUGACCAAGCUACUGGAAAGGCCCUGGGGCUGGGACAAGGUAGGAUAAAGCCAAGAGUCUAUUCCUAUCUACUCUGUGACCCUGUCACACAAGGUAGUUUACUUCUGGGCCUAGGUGCCCUUGUCUCUUAAACAACUAAGAUCCACACGUUUUAGGUCUGGUGAACUGUGGAAGGGGGCACAUGGGGCAAAGAAGCCCAACUUACCAAACUGACUAAACAGCUCUUUCAGGCUCUCAUCAUCCACCUCUUCCCCAAAGUUUUUGAUAUAAACAUUGGUGAACUCCUUGGCUUUGGCUCCAAGCUCGGCUUCCCGCUCUUUUCGAGACUUGAAUCUGCCCACAAACCUAAAAAGAAAUCAUAGGAAACAGUGACUACCCAGAAGAACAAAUCAGGUUUCCAGGGGCCCAAAGGAAUAUAGGUUAAAGACUGACAGGAGAGGUUAAAACACACAAGUCCCCAUCCAACCACCAAGAGAGCAAGCUCAGAGAUGCCCCAACUCCCCAGCAGAAAGAGAGAGGCAGGACUGUCCUGCAAGGAUCAGUCCCAGGACUCCUGGCUCAGACCAGGGCUACUCCUACCACAUCACACUGCCUUCAUGAAGAAACCUGGUGACCAUUAUUAAAACGUUCAUUUCUGUGCAUCUAUGUAAAUGCAUAGAAAAGGUCUGGAAGGAUACAAACCAAACUGUUAACAGUGGUUAAUCCUAGGGGUGAGAUUGCUAGAGUGAACUAUGAGGUAGCCUUUGCUUUUGCAUUUCGCACAUUCUGGUGUUUGCACUUAAUGGGAAAAUGUAUCCACACACUGAAAAUCUUUAGAUCUCUUUCCAGUGAUACCUUUGGAAGACUUGACCAUUGGCCACAUACACAUUAUCAAUGCAAUCCAUCCCCUAGUCUGUUCAAAACAAAGGACAGAAAUGAUCUUUGCUUGUUAUAGCCAAGACUUAUUGUCCCUUCUCUCUCCCUGAAUGGCUUAAGACUCUCUUGUCCCCAUUCUGCAAUAACCAUACCAAAGCGAGAAGGUCUACUAUAAACAGCGUCUUCUGCAAUCAGAGAUUUUUUUCAUUAUAACCAAAUUAAGCAUUACUGUGGAGCCAGCCUUGUAUGAGAAGGCCACUGAGUCAUAAGUUAGCCAAGUGGAGAUCUGGAGACAAUUUGGCAUCAACUCCUAGCAAAUGACCCCAUGGACAGACCUGAAUCACAGGAAGGCCAAGGUCACAUGGCUAGUACACAGCUCCUGGUCAGUCCAGGGCCCUCUCCACUCUGCCGCUGGCCAAGACCCCUGCUCAGAAAGGGCUCAGAGCUGCCUUCUAGCAAGCCCCAGUUGCCGAUGCUCAUAAAACCCACGGACGAAUGAUGCUUUUGAGGGAGAGGCGGCAGGCAGGCCAUGGCUUGGGCAGGAAGCCCACCUUGGCGAGUCAAAAGGGCUGCCACGGCUCGGGCAGGGAGACUCACCAGCCCUGGAGUGGAGAGGUAGGAGCAGGCCACACUUGGGCCGAGAGAACCAGUAGCCGCCUUGUGUGUGCCAGUUAAUACCGAGGUGGGGCCACGGCUGGCUCAUGCGAUGGCUGUUGCUCCGGACUGGGACACUCACACUUUGCGGUCAUUGAGGAGCAUGCCGUUCAUCUUCUCGAUGGCCUUGUCAGCAGCCUCUUGGGUCUCGAAGUGGACAAAGGCAUAACCCUUAGAGCCGUUCUCAUCACACACCACCUGUCAAAGACAAGGGGGGGCCGCUUUAGCACCACUGGCAUCUCCAGGUAUUUGACAACCACAUGACCUUCUCCUCAGAGUCUCCUGUGUCCGAGAGGCCGCUAGCCCAUCCAUAGUCAAAAGAUAGGAGACUCCAGCAGAUAAGGUUUUUCCUAGUAGUGAGCACACUACAAGGGACCUAGUGAUGUUCCAUUUACAAAUGGCAGCCACUAUUAGGCUGCUUCCAGUCCAAAUGUUUUAUUUCAUUAAAAAAAACUGAGAUCUGGGUGCAAAACCACCGUGCCGCAGAAAAAGUGAUCAAUGGCCAAGCCCACAAUACAAUUUCAGUCUAGUAGGGAGUCAGAUACCACCACCACACCAGUUGUACUAAAUUCUCCACAAAAACAGGUGCAAAGGGAAGGAAGGAAGAGGAUGAAUUUAUACUUCUGAGAUGACUAAGUAUAGCUGCCUGGAGACCAGAGGCACUGCUCUACUUCUCCCCCCAGAAAAGAUAAACUCUUCAAUGCCCUCCAAAGGUAGAAAACAGAAAGGAUAUUUCAGGCAGAGGGAAGAAUAAACAGAGAAACAAAAGCACCUGCUGGUGAUACUGGAUUGUGACACAAGAUUAUCUACAGGGAACUUUUAGCCUUUGGAGCCAUUUCCAGCCAAUUACCAUCGCCCAAUUCCAAGGCUGCUCCCCAUUUGGUAUUUAUCUUGUUUUCAUGAGUCAAUGAUCAUUCUACUGAAAUCAUUUAAUCAAUGCUUACCUUGCAAGACAGAAUGUUUCCAAAAGCAGAAAAAGUAUCAUAAAGUGCCUUGUUAUCUAUAGAUUUGUCCAGAUUCUUGAUGAAGACAUUUCCCACACCAGAUUUUCUCAAAGAGGGAUCCCUCUGAGACCACAUGAUACGGAUUGGCUUUCCCUUAAUCACAUCAAAGUUCAUGGUAUCCAAGGCCCGCUCAGCUGCAAGAGAGAAACAUAUUUCGGUCAAGGAUAUAAAGCAUCACUCCGUGCAGACAACUGCCACCAGCCCAGGAACAGAGGACUCCAAGACUUUUCAAGGUAAUCACUGUGAUAAAAGGCAACUCUAUUAAAAUUAAAAGGCAUCAGAUCCCUCCAGCCUGCGUUGCCAGUGAGGGUAGACGUUCUGGCCAGUUGCUCCCACUUCCUGGCACAAGUCUCCAGCCCUCUGGACCUGCACCCUUGUUGUGUAAAAGGGGUAGGCGAGAGCAUCUAAAUGGCCUUCUGGCACCAAUAUCAAGUCACAAUUCCAUACAUUUGACUGAGCUCUAUCAGUUAUAAAGAUCUGCUGCUGACCACCCAUGGUGACACAGGUAGAACAGUUGUGAUAUUAUCUAUUUCAUAAAAUGAGCAAACUUAUGUCCAGGAUGGCUAAACCGUGCAGCUAACUAGUGAGUAAGAAACUAAUACUAGAUUUUCUGAUUAUUUUUCAGUUAGAUAUUGCAUCAAAUUACCAACGAGCUGUCAUUUAGUCUACAAUCUGUCUGUCUAGGAAACAAGUGACAGAACAAAACCUGGGAACAACUGACUGG